CAAUAGCGUAUAUUAAAGUUGUUGCAGUUAAAAGCUCGUAGUUGGGUUUCUGAUAUUUGCUGUUAUUACUUCUUAAUUGAUAGUAAUGAACUAGUAUUAUCAUAUAUCUGUUGAAUAUGUACUUAAUUGUUCAUAUAUUUUCAGAUCAUUUACUUUGAGUAAAUUAGAGUGUUUAAAGCAAGUUAAUGCUAUGAAUACUGAAGCAUGGAAUAAUAAGAUAGGAUGUUGGUUCUAUUUUAUUGGUUUUUAGAACUGAUGUAAUGAUUAAUAGGAACAGUUGGGGGCAUUCGUAUUCAACAGCUAGAGGUGAAAUUCUUAGAUUUGUUGAAGACGAACUACAGCGAAAGCAUUUGCCAAGGAUGUUUUCAUUAAUCAAGAACGAAAGUUAGGGGAUCGAAGAUGAUCAGAUACCAU
rnacentral:rRNA from 1 species